AUAUUCUGUAGCAAGGUUAACCGUAUAGGGGAGCCGGAGGGAAACCGAGUCUUAACCGGGCGUUAAGUUGCAGGGUAUAGACCCGAAACCCGGUGAUCUAGCCAUGGGCAGGUUGAAGGUUGGGUAACACUAACUGGAGGACCGAACCGACUAAUGUUGAAAAAUUAGCGGAUGACCUGUGGCUGGGGGUGAAAGGCCAAUCAAACCGGGAGAUAGCUGGUUCUCCCCGAAAGCUAUUUAGGUAGCGCCUCGUGAAUUCAUCUCCGGGGGUAGAGCACUGUUUCGGCUAGGGGGCCAUCCCGGCUUACCAACCCGAUGCAAACUGCGAAUACCGGAGAAUGUUAUCACGGGAGACACACGGCGGGUGCUAACGUCCGUCGUGAAGAGGGAAACAACCCAGACCGCCAGCUAAGGUCCCAAAGUCAUGGUUAAGUGGGAAACGAUGUGGGAAGGCCCAGACAGCCAGGAUGUUGGCUUAGAAGCAGCCAUCAUUUAAAGAAAGCGUAAUAGCUCACUGGUCGAGUCGGCCUGCGCGGAAGAUGUAACGGGGCUAAACCAUG
rnacentral:rRNA from 1 species